rnacentral:rRNA from 1 species
UACGGAGGGUGCAAGCGUUAUCCGGAUUCACUGGGUUUAAAGGGUGCGUAGGAGGGCAGGUAAGUCAGUGGUGAAAUCUCCGAGCUUAACUUGGAAACUGCCGUUGAUACUAUCUGUCUUGAAUAUUGUGGAGGUGAGCGGAAUAUGUCAUGUAGCGGUGAAAUGCAUAGAUAUGUCACAGAACACCAAUUGCGAAGGCAGCUUACUAUGGUUUUAUUGACACUGAGGCACGAAAGCGUGGGGAUCAAACAGG